CAUUUGGGGCUGAGCCGCGGGGUCUGCGGGCUCCGAGGCCUUAUAUAGUCCACCUCCGGUUUCCAUUAUUCAACUCGAUUUAAUUGUUCGGAAGGAAUUCUUGAAACGAUUCUCGUAAGAGGGAUUUGCAAGACAAGAGAUGAGUCCGGUUGGCUUUUUCUCUUGUUUUGUCCCCCCACGAGAGUUAGGAAGGCAGUGGGGAGGUGUGUAGCGCUCGGUCUCAUUCAUUGAGAGGCUGUGUCGGUGGUCUGAGCGCCCCGUCCUGUUCGCUGCUGGGCGGCCUUCGGGGCAGGGCCUCGUGUUCUUUGUGCUGGGCGGCUCGGCGGACCCAGCCCUGUGCCCGAGGCCCGGAGGUGUUUCCGUGCCGGUAUCAGCAAGUACAUGCCUAUAAUCCCCAGAAACGCUUCCUUGCAAGGAGUGGAUCUCAGGUUUGGUUUGCGGUCCUUAGUUUAAGGGUAUUUGAUAAGGGUUGAAAAAAGCACUGGCUGAGGCUCGUCUGUAGAGAGCUGAAAAUGGUGUUGCACGUUGUUUUCGUUGUACAGAUAUGUGAAAGAUAAAUGCUAAAGUCUUUCUUUGGGACUUCUGAACUUGUUUUCCAUCAUAACCAUAGAUGUUGGAGUUGUGUUGCGUGUGCAUAUGGUGGGGAGGGCUAGCUACUAUAUCAGUAGCGUGGCCGUGAUUUGCUGAAAUUGGGAAUCAUUUUCAGUUUACCCAAUGAUUUACUGAAUAAGCAGGCAUUUGCAUUUUGUAUUGAUAUCUCACUAAUUUGUUCUUUAGCUGUAUUGUUGUAAUUGGGCACAAUCAAAACUCAAAAUUCUGAUCUUGGCAAGAGGGGAGUUCCACUGAGAGAUUAGGAGACAUAUGUGUCAUCAGCCUCAGUAAGCUCUACUCUGCAAUUUAAAUGAGACUUUAGUCAUUGCAGCUGCUGAAGUUACUCACAUAUUAAGCUUUUGGAGACUCAAGGUAGAUAGUACUUUGACCUGUGCUAUAGCUGAGCUGGUUGUCAGUUUCUUUCAUAAGCUGAGAAGACCUGGGUCAUUGUUUCUCAUGCUGCUUCAUGGGAGAGCCUGCAGAAGGGGAGGGGGAGAAAAGCUGUUGGAGGAGGUACUUGGAGUUUGCGUAAUCCCAGUGUUGUGACUGAGAGAUGCUUGAUAGAGCAUCCUUCCUAUCAUUACCUGCGUGGGCAGUGCCAUCUUCUUCAUAUGCUACCCUCGCUCUUGUGAAAUGUAAAGCAUUUCCCAUUCCAAUAGGAGUUAAUGGGUUCUUCUCUCUUCCUCUAAAUACGUUGAUAGGAAUAGACUUCUUGAAAAUGUACAUUCUUCCUAUUGUAGUGACCUGGUAGAAAUUUCUCAUCCAGUGACAGGAUGGAAGAAAGUAGUUUUUUUCUUUUUGAUCGUGGCAUUGCUUCAUAGACUGAGAUGCUGUGUUGUUUCAUAAAGGUUUCAUGAAUAACUAGUGUGCUUUUCAAGCCUUGUAGAAUCAAACCUGUCAUCUGUUGAAGAGAUAAGUUUGCAGAAAAUAAUAUACUUUUUUUAAUUUAUUUUUUAUUUUUUUUGCUAGGGAGCUUUAAGAGCUUUUGGCAAACUUUCUUUGUGAGAGUGAGUACUUUGAAACAUAAAACUAGAUUGUUCUUCAUCCUGUGGCACGUUCCUCCCUCUUACUGUGAUCUCUGGUUGGAAACACUGGAAGAAAUAAGUUGGUCAGAUGUGACCUCGAGUUUAUAAAAUGACUGUAAAUUUAGGACUGAGGGAUCAGGCUGAUCUUUUCUGAACUGUUGCAGGCGGAAUGCUGAAUGAUGUUGCUGUUGGUGCUUUUACAGGAAAUAGAACAAAAAUUCCAGUGAUUCAGAACUGGAUUUUUUUAAAGCUAUACUCAAAACUCAAAUAUUUAAAUGAUUGAACUGAAAGUUAACUUUUUUUUUUCCACUAAUGUGUACAGUGAUUCAGGUUUUGCAUUUUUUUCUCUUCAGUUGCAUAGUAGAUUAUCUCCACUGGAAAAGUGUAUACUUUGUAGUUCAAACAGGACAAAUAAUGGUGACUGCUCCAAAACGUCUUGAAUGCUGAUUAGCAAACCAAUCCUGAUGGGAUUCUCCAUACUUGAAGUCAACUGUGAGUGAGAAAGCUGUUGGAUUCACAGUUGGAUUAAAUUUUUUAUUAAACUCAUAAUUGCAGCUGGAGGUUUCAUUAUAACAGUUGCUUCAGUUUCUCCCUCUCUUAAUUAUGCUUACCAGAAAAAUCACUGUGAUUGGUUAAUGCUGUCUCUAACAAAAAUUUUUGUAGACUUUUUUGUUAGAAUUGUGGUAGAAUGACUGACUUACUGUUGCUGAAUUGAUCAGCGAGCUCAAAGUAUUCUGAACAGUAUACAGAUGUGUAGAGUUCCUUUUAGCUUCGUGUUGUGCUGCCUUUGGAUUUUGGUGUUUCUCAAUUAGUCUGGUGAAUCCGAAUGAAGUAGCUGGACGUGAUUGAAGUUGAGAGUUCUGUGUUGUGUCUGCAUGGGAUCUGGUUAUUCUUGGAAGGCAUCUGUUGUAGAAUGAAAAGAUCUAAGGAGGAGCAGUUAAGAGCUUCCAGUUUUCACAAAACCUGUGAAGGCCUUUUUUAAUCUUUGAGACUUUUACACCUCCCUUAAAUUGUCUUUGAAAUGGUCAGCUGAUGCAAAUCGUUAUUAAAAGGACAACUAGAACAUGUAAAAACAAUUUCUUUUAAGAAAACUUGCUUAGUUGUACAUAGUAGGAAACAAAAUCCUGGCAACUUGAGAACUCAGCAUCAACUGAUGCCACAUGGAGAAGAUGUUGAGAUGCAUCUGUUUUUUGCGAAACUUUUCAAAGAAGAGGAGUUGCUGUUGAAGGGAUUGGACUUGAGUUUUGUGCAGGUGCUUCUGCAUGCUUACUCCAAACCUCUUCAUUUUUCACAUCUUCUCACACUGUCUUUGAUGCAUGGACUACAUUGGAAGCAAUAAAAACCGCUGGAGAACUAUAGUGAUGCUGAGGGCUACAUAAAAAUUGAAUGGAAGAAUGUUUUGGACAAUGCUCAAAAACAAUAGAAGUGUUGCUCCAGACAAGUUGUUGACAUGUUUCUAAAUAUAUAUUUGUGUAAUGUAUUAUAAGCCAUCUUUGAUUUAUUUUUCUAAAGACACAAAUCUCAAGCAAUUGUGUUUCCUUUAAUCCUGUGCCUUAAUAAAUUUUAAGUUCAUCAGCUAAUUUCAGCAAAGUAGCCACAGGGCAAGGUCUUGGGGAUUUUACAUUUUAAUAAUAUUUAACAGGAAUAUUCAGGUUAUUGAAUAGAAGGUCUCUUCAGAAGAAAGUUUUGCAUGGAUUUAGCACUUACCCGUAUUUAACCUGCCAGUUGGCAAACAAACAGCUUUCUCUGGGUUAAAAGCUAGAUACGAUGUGCUGUACUCCUUUCUUUCAGUCCCCAGUUAGAGGACGUGAGAGGUUAAGUGCACUGUGGCUGGUGCAUGGAAGAGAGGGGGUAAGAUAAUAGGCAGCUGGGAUAGAGGUGGAGUGCGAUCAUUUGGAGCAUGGCAGCAUGGCUGCCUGCAGAUCUGUGGGAAAUGGGGCAGUGACCUGCUGUCCGUGGGAUGGUUCCUCGAACAAGAGGGCUAGCAGCAUCUGCCAGUUUUGGUUUACUGAACAAAAAUCGUGUUGUGUUAGGUGUCUUAAGAGGAUGAAAGCUGAAGGAGAGGGGAAGUGAUAGGUGAGGUAGCUAGGCAGACAGCUGGGCUGCUGAGCUCGUGUUGCAGCAGUGGCACACUCUUAACUGCAGUGUUUAAAAAAAACUCUGAGUGUGAGGUGGCUGUUAGGUGUGUGUUAGAUGUUACUUCCACUCUUGAAACCUCUUCUGUGCCUUUCUGUUUGUAUGGCCCUGGCACAACUCCUGACUGUGCUUACACCUGUCCUGGCAUGCUGCGUGGAGCAGCAUGGGGCAAGAAUGCGUGCCAGUGAGGGAGUGGUUGCGUGAACUGCACAAGGAAUACAUGUUAUUCUCAACAUGCUUUAUAUUGAAAGCGUUGUUUCGUUGUUACAUCUCAGUUUAUAGUGGAAAUGACUUAGAUGUUUGAUGUUAAUAGUUUAAUUCGUUCGUACCUGUGUGGGCUCUUGCAUGCUGUGGUAUAUUUAAUGUAUUCCUAAGUGUAAUAGAUGCAUCUGUGAAGUAGUAUCAAAUUAUUUUAAUAACUCUAAAGUAACCUAUUUUUUAUUACACUUCCGAGUGAACAUUUUACAUAGCUCAUUGAAUCUUGAACCAAGUAUUUGUAUUUUGUAGAUAAUGCUAAAAGAAAUAGAUGAGAACACACUGGCAGGCUGAUAAAAUACCCAAUUAACAGUAAACUUUUCAAUUCUGUUUGCUGCAGCAUAUGUUCUGUUGGAUAAGAAGAUGCUUUGCCUUUUUCAUAGGUGGCUUUUGCGAAUAUUGAGCAUAAAUAUGUGGUUAAGGAGUGAUUAUUAGAAAAAUUCCUCAUGGCUGUUAAACUUAGGGCUUUAGAACGCUUUUUUUUCCCCCCCCCAAAGAAAAAUUACAGUUUUUGCUUUUUAAAAAUAAAGAAAACUCACUGUUGUUUGCUGAUCACUAUGUUUUACUUUUUCAGUAGUGCAUGGUUUCAGCACCUAACCACUCCUCGAGGUAUUUGUACCUGGUUUUGAUCAGAUGCUUCAGAAGCUAUGAGUAACAAGUGCAUCCUGAGAAAUCAUCUAUUUUGCUGAAGCUAUUUAGGAAAAAAAAAAAAAAAAAAAAAAAUGGCUUUGUACUUUAUACUGAAGGUUAGAAAUACAGGAAAGACUUUUCCCAUGUUUGUCCUGAGUGUGAUUUCCCCAAGUGGAAAAAAUUAUGAACAGUUUCACCUUCAGAGGAAAAAGUCCCACACACUUCAAAGAAAUGAAGUUAUGUAAUACAGCA